rnacentral:rRNA from 1 species
GACGAACGCUGGCGGCGUGCUUAACACAUGCAAGUCGAACGGAAAGGCCCUACCUUGCUUGGGUACUCGAGUGGCGAACGGGUGAGUAACACGUGGGUAAUCUGCCCUGGACUUUGGGAUAACCUCAGGAAACUGGGUCUAAUACCGGAUAGGACGUCCGGUUGGAUGGCAUGGUGGGGAAAGUUUUCGCGGUUGGGUCUGGACUCGCGGCUUAACAGCUUUGUGGGGGGGUAGGGGCUCACAAGGGCUUUGACGGGUAGCGGGCGUGAGAGGGUGACGGCCCACAUUGGGUCUGAGAUACGGCACAGACCUCUACGGGAGGCAGCAGGGGGGAAUAGUGCACCGUGGGCGGACGCCUGAUGCCGAAGCGCCGUGUGCGGGAUGACGGUUUGCGGGUUAUAAACCGCUUUCGAGUGAGACGAAGCGUUAGUGACGGUAAUGGGUGAAGAAGCACCGGCUAACUACGUG